rnacentral:tRNA from 1 species
GCGGCCGUGGUCUAGCCUGGUCUAUGAUAUCAGCCUGCCACUCGGGCGGCCCGGGAAUUCAAAUCCCGGCGGCCGCACCA